UGUUCAGUGGCUUAGCUGGUUAAGUGCCGAACUAGCGAUACAGAAUCGUGGGUUCGAAUCCUACCAAAACAA
rnacentral:tRNA from 1 species